AGGCUGAGGGCUGAGUGUACCCUGGCCGGCAGCCCAGGAAGCCUGAGUAUGUAAUUAAAAGAUUGUAUCUUCUUGCAUCUGUCUCCAGGAACAAGGGCUCCCAGUGUUGUCCCUGUCCUGUGACCUUCGUCUGGGCAUAGACCUGCUGCCUGGCUCUGAUGUGUCCCUUUAGGCUGGGUGGGCAGAUCCAUUUCAGCUGGUUCUGUGCACAGAGAGGACAGACUCCUCUUCUCUCCUUCAGACCACCUAAUAGCUGCCCCUCAGGAGGAUGGACAUGCCUCCCAUCCAUUUGGUAAAGCCUUUGCUGUUUGUAUUAAUAAAUCACAGCCACAUCCAUACUGGCAGGAUAUCUACACAGAGCCACCAGCUAGUCAGCAGAGAGCCAAGCCUCAGAUGUAACUCUGAUGGGUGUUGCACCCUGACUCCCCUGCCGGGAGGACCAUGGGCCUUAAGGAUGAGGAGGGUGCAGGAGAAGAAUCCUCUCCCCCAGCACUAGACAAUGGCUUUGAGGGACCCACAUGGUCAUGGAACACUUUGGCCUUUGCAUGUAAGACCAUAAGAGAUCAAGUCAUCAUGAUCUCGGCAGCUCCAAACCAUCCCACUUGCCAGCAGGAAGGGAGGCUGGUAAAUGUGCCCAGUAGGGAAAAGAGGCCAGCUUCUGGAACACCAAGGGGAGGGAAGACAGGAUAGACAAUGGGGGAAGGUCAAGGGCUAGGAGCCUGGGUACCAGGGCAAUGGGGAGAGCCUUUAAGGGGAUGAGUUGGGGGCUGCCAUGUGGCCCUGUCUUUCAUCUUCUCUGUAGCUGGUCAGGAGUUAGGUUUGGCAUGUGCUUCUUGGGCCUGAUGGCCUGGGCACAGAGGCCAAGUGGGGCUGUGAGUGGCAUGUGGAGAACAGUUAGGAGGUGUCAGUCAGAGUGGGGUCCACACACUUCAUGGAAGAAUUCUGAGCAGCUGGGACCAAAGCGCAGCCUGCCGUCGUCUGGGCCUGGGCCGGGCCUCACCUUCGCCUCAGUGGGAGAGCCAGUUUGGCUGGACAGUUGAGCAGGCGCAGAGAGCAGAUGUGGCUGGUGCGAGUGCGGCUGGGGCAGCCGCCGGUCCUGUGGAUGAGUCAGUCGCCUGGGUCCCGUGCCAGCACCAAUGGCUUCCUGGGAUUGGGACGAGGAUUCAAGGAAGGGUGGGAGUGUGAGGGGGCUGGGAGGUGGGGAAGUGCGGCAGGAGCCAGUUCGGGGAGGCUGUGGCUUGAGAUGCUCCAGGCCAGCCUGGGCUCUACCUCUACUUACAGUAAGAAGGCACAGCUUCAGAAGUCCGUUUGUGCACAGAGGCUGGGCAACCCAGGUCAACAGAACAUUGGCUUCCGGCUCUCCCAGCCUGAGAAUCCUGGAGCUACUCUUCAUCUUGAUGCUGUGGCCAGGAGCCAGCGCCCUCCUCUACACCUGCCCUCUCUGGUACACUCCAUCUCUGCCAAGUGGCUCUGCAAAGAGGUUAAAUAAGCAACCAUGAUCAGCUGGCUUUCCCAGAAAGGUAGCUGAAGGCCUGGGCUCCAUCUGAGGAAUGGAUUCUAAUGGUAGAAUCCUGCAGUCGCUGCAGGUUGGGGCUGUCAGAGGCUCUGACACCAAGCUGGACAACAAGCUGGGGUAGCCUUCUCUUGGGGCUCCUUGGAGCUGUGUUCUGAGGGCCCCACAUUGGAGGGGGCUGGCUCUCUAGAGCAGGGAGCUGGGGUGUGGGGCCUUGGUUCAAAGGAGGGAGGGCAGGAGGACCACUGGUGCCAUUGUCUUUAUUAAACGUGGGCCUCCAAAGGUCAGAGUGAGUCCCUGCUUCAGGCUUGGUUGCUCCCUUGGCUCCAUCUGAGAGUGGGAGGGAGGCCUGAUAGACCUUUCCUGGGGAGUCCCCUUUGCCUUUCUGGAAGUGGGGGACAUGGACAGGGGUGAGGGAGAAGGUGGCUUUAGGGAGAUUCCAUGGUCAGUGGAAAAAAAAAACACCGAGAUAGGAAAGAUGACUGCAUGAGAUGUCUGUUUCCUGAGUAAAGCAAGCAGGAGUGGGUGGGGCUGAGGAGUUGCUGAGUAAUGUCCUCCCGGGGGAGGGCCAGAAAUGAGGAGGACAUGUGACCCUUGGGUGGCUCAAGGGCCAGUGAAGUCACUUUUUCUCCUGACCUAGGCGUCUCCAUUCUCUCAAGAUGACUGGGUGCCCUCCUGAUGCAAGCCCCUCUUAACAGACACAUGAUCAGACUCCCUGGACAGCCAACCUUCCUUCCUUCCCUUCUUCUCUCCCUACUUUCUUCCUUUCACCAGCAGCCACUGAGAACAAAGAGCAGGGCUUCUGUGCUGGUGGGGGGAGUGGAGGGCACACAUCACAGAUGGGUGAUUCUCUCAUGGUGGGUUAACAUCAGAGCCUGCAGAAGUCCAGGGACAGAGAGAUGUGGGGGCCUGCAGAGAGGGGGUGGCUCUGCUCAGUCAUGAUGGGAGGGCUUCACAGAGGAGGUGACAUUUCCUAAAAAAAGGGUGGUGACUGGUUUCAAGGAGCAAAUGGGAAAGAACCUUCUGGGCAAAGGGCAGGGGCCCACUUAGGUGAGGGUAACUAAAGGAGGCACAAGGAGGGAAUGUUUGCAGGGUGAUGAAUGCUAGGAUGUGAAUAAGCAGGAGUGAUUGCUUUAGGUGAGGAGGGAAUCACCACCUAUCACAACCUGUCAUCUGGACUUGAUGUCAGGUGAAGAGUGAGCAAGAAUCUUGGUUUAAUGUAGAAUGUGAGGACCAGAAUAUGACAGGCCUGAGUUCCAGUCCAAGUUUUAUUGCUUAGCUGCCAAGUUUGGGCUGAGCACUUAAUAUGCCUGAGCCUCAGUUUCCUCAUCUGUACAAUGGGAUCACUGUGACUCUGGGGUUUCUAUAAAAAUCAGCUGUGACUGUGCUUUGCAAGCUGUCAAUAGCUCUGCAAACUUGAGGCCUUCUUGGGGUAGCACCUCAGCAGGAGCCCAUUUCUGCAUUGACCUUUUGGGUUGCCAUUUCCUGGGGAGUGGUCAUAGAUGGCUGCUCUCACCCAGGCUGGCUAGUGUUCAGGUAGAGGAUGAUGUUUUUUACUUUUACCAUACUUUCCAUGGGGUCAGUUUAUUUGGGAUCAGCUGCUGCCUUCCCAGAGUCUCAGGGGCCUGCUGUGAAGAGCUUGGGGGCAAAGGAACCAGAAGUCUGAAUCUAGAACUGGAGGACUUUCUAGGUCUACUUCUGGUCUUUGGGUCAUGAGGGCUGGGACAAUGAGGCAUGACAAGGCAGGGCCAGUGUAGGGUAGGGCAGGGCAGGAUGCAGGACAGGGACCCUGUGGCAAUGGGGCAGCAAGUGAGUGAAGCUAGGAGUGGGUUAGAGACAUAGGGGAACUGUGGGGCUAUGGAGGAAACAGUAGAGUGAGCAGCAGAUGGAGAGACAGACAGAACUCUGUCCCUCCCUUGCCCCUCCCCCUCCCCACUCCCACCCCAGUCUCAGCAUCCUCAGCUCUGGGGCUGCCUCUGGUGGGGAGGAAGGAAAGGGCCUGUUGAUGCUUCUUCUUGUGGCGCCUGCCCCAUGCUGUACUAUGGUAGAGAUUCAGUUCCCCAUAAAUCUGAUGGGUCCCCCUCCAUCAGCCUGGGCAGUAGCCCCAGUGAUCUGUGACUCAGUAGUUCUUUGCCAGUGGGUGGGGCUCCAGCUGGCUACAGGGCUCAGGUCCCCCUAAGGCUGAAGCACUGCCUAAAGGCAGGUGGUCCUCAGCACCAGGACUGGCUCCGGCUCCCCCUCUAAGCCCCUCGUCUGCGCUUGUGGCCCUUGAGGUCCCUCAGUCAGCCAUGCAGUAGUGCCAGGACAGGGCCGUGCCCAGUGACUCAGUCUGGCCCCAUUGCACUGAGUAGGUGCCAUAAAUAUUUGUUGAAUGGAAUUCUUGCCUCUGGCUGGGAUUUUCCACUGCACCACAUAGCUGUUCCCAGUUCUGUUGUGGGCCUAAGCCGCUUCUGUGUCUGCCUGCACACACGCCGUUCCUUUGCUUUCCUGCCAUGCCCUGUCCCUCCUCAGACACCCCUUCAGAUUGCUCCCCCAAACCUCCAUCUCCCAGAGGUCCUCUCCUUCCCCUCCAGCCCCAGCCUCCCCUUGGCCCCAUGUCUG